AUGGCGACCGGCCUGCGGUAUGCGAGUCACUUGUCAUUGUUGAGUAUGUUGAUGAGGCCUUUGAUGGCCCGCCGCUCCUCCCCUCCGACCCCUUCGCCCGUGCCUCCGCCCGCUUCUGGGCUCGCUUCGUCAACGAGAAGGUGGUGCUGGAGGUCUGUAUGGAUGGCACUCUGGACGGACGGUCAAGUGCAAGCUUCAUCAGCGAGGGAGACGGCAGAGAACCUAAAGCUUCUUGAGGGACAGUUGCCGGAGGGGAAGAGGUUUUUCGGAGGUGAUACUAUUGGCUUCCUCGACAUAGCCAUGGGCGGGAUCGCGCGUUGGUUAGGAGUGUUUGAGGAGAUGGCCGGGGUAAGGCUGCUCACCGAGGAGGACCGCCCAUUGUUGUACAAGUGGGUGAGGGACUACAAGGCUGACGACAAUGUGAGGCAAUGCCUUCCGGAGAGGGGUCGUGUGCUUGCCGAGUUGGCGACGAGGAAGGAUCGGUAUGUGUCCAUAGCUAUGAGGAUGGCGGCAAAGAACUCCUAG
rnacentral:rRNA from 1 species